rnacentral:tRNA from 1 species
AGCAGCAUGGCUUAGUGGAUAGAGCAUGGUCCUGGGAGUCAGAGGACCUGGGUUCUGAUCCCAGUUCUGCCA